UCUAGUACCGCAAGGGAACAAUGAAAUAAAAAUGAAAUAACUAUCAAGCACCUAGUAGUAGAGACCUCCCCUCGUACCUUUUGCAUCAUGAUUUAACUAGUUUAUCCAAGCAUAAUGCACUAAAGUUUGCCCCCCCGAAACUAAGCGAGCUACUUCGAGGCAGUUCCAGGAACUAACCCAUCUCUGUAGCAAAAGAGUGGGAAGACCUUCAAGUAGAGGUGACAGACCUAACGAGCUUAGUGAUAGCUGGUUACUUGAGAAAAGGAUCUUAGUCCGACCCAACUUUUACAAAAUACACCUAAAUAAAAACUAAAAUUUGGAGUAAUUCAAAUAAGGUACAGCCUAUUUGAAUCAGGAUACAACCUUUUUAAAUGGGUAAUUAAACUUCUAUGUAAUAAAGUAGGCCUAAGAGCAGCCAUCUUCAAAAAGCGUCAAAGCUUAUUCACUAAUCAACUUAAUCCCCCUAAUUUUUAAAACCCCUUAAUCUCUAUUAAGUAACUCUAUAAAAUUAUAGAACCUAUUAUGUUAAAACUAGUAACAAGAAUAAGAACUUCUCUUUAAUGCAAGUGUAGAUCAGGCUGGACAAACCACUGAUUCUUAACACUUUGAAGCCAGAGUAAUAACCUACCAAGAAAAUCUUACUUCACUAAAUGUUAACCUGACACAAGAGCAUUCUCAGACAGAUUAAAAGGAAUAGAAGGAACUCGGCAAAUAUUAACCUCGCCUGUUUACCAAAAACAUCGCCUCUUGAUUUUAUAUAAGAGGUCCAGCCUGCCCAGUGACUCUGUUCAACGGCCGCGGUAUCCUAACCGUGCGAAGGUAGCGUAAUCACUUGUUCUUUAAAUGAGGACUAGUAUGAAUGGCAUUACGAGGGUUAUACUGUCUCCUUUUCCUAAUCAGUGAAACUAAUCUCCCCGUGAAGAAGCGAGGAUGAACAUAUAAGACGAGAAGACCCUAUGGAGCUUUAAACUUCCAGCAAUUAUCUUUUUUAUACCAACCUUA
rnacentral:rRNA from 2 species